rnacentral:rRNA from 1 species
ACGGCUAAAAACCGUUGCUAUUGUUCUUGCAACGGUUUAAAACCGUGGCUAAAUGCUGAAAAUCACCACCCCUCCUCAAGCAUAAAACUGUUGCUAAAAUGUUUAGCAACGGUUUAUAGCCGUUAAAAGGAAUUUCGCGACGCCUCUGUAGCCCACGGCUCUUAGCCGUGACAAUGGGUUACCCCCACGGUUUAAAACCGUUGCUAAUGGGGAUUUUUGGUGUAGUGCUAGCUCAAUUGUUCGAUGACACUUACCAGUAUUGGUCUUGCAUGCUGUCUAAGCUGAGGAAGUUGAGGACUAGUGGCGACCAAUAUUGAUUGUACGAUGAUGCUUGUCGAUCAUGCAUGUUGGCUAGUUGAGGCAAGUUUAAAACUCUAUUGUUUGAUGAUGCUCACAAGUUUUUCGACUUGCAAAAGCAAAUAAAGAGUACGCUAGUUUCAAAUGGACAGGAGCCUGGUCGGGAUUCAACAUACUAUUGUAAGCCCCAACACUUGAGGUGCUUACUUCUAUCCCUUUGGUUUUUUAACUGAUGGGGUCCCUUUCCGACCCAUCUUGAAACACGGACCAAGGAGUAUGACAUGUGUGUGAGUAAAUGAGUACGUAAACUCGUAAGGCGCAAGGAAGCUGAUUGGUGGGAUCCCCUUGUGGGUUGCACCGCCGAUCGACCUAGAGCUUUUAAGAAGGGUUCGAGUUUGAGGAAACCUGUCGAGACCCGAAAAAUGGUGAACUAUGCAUGAGCGGUUCAAAGCCAGAGGAAACUUUGUUGGAUGCCUGCAUCAAUAUUGACGUGCAAAUCAUUCAUCUCAUUUGGGUAUAGGAACAAAAAUACUAAUCGAACCAUCUACUAGUUUGUUUCCUCCGAAGUUUCCCUCAGGAUAGCUGGAUCUCAAACGCGAGUUCUAUCGGGUAAAGCCAAUGAUUAGAGGCAUCUGGGGUGCAGCGCCCUUGACCUAUUCUCAAAUUUUAAUAGGUAGGACGGUGUGACUACUUUAUUGAGCCGUACCAUGGAAUCGAGAGCUCUAUGUGGGCCAUUUUUUGUAAGUUGUACUGGCGAUGUGGAUGAACUGAAAGUCGGGUUACGGUGCCCAAUGAUGCUCUAACCUAAAACCCACAAAUGGUAUUGGUCGAUUAAGAUAGUAGGACGGUGGCCAUGGAAGUCAAAAUCCACUAAGGAGUGUCUAACAACGCACCUGUCGAAUCAAAUAGCCCUGAAAAUGGAUGGCGCUUAUGGUCGUCACCCACACCCGACAAUUGAGGCAAUUAUCAGGCCCUGAUGUGUAGGGGUGCGCGACGGUAGCUACAAAACCUAUGGCAUGAGCCCAAGCGAGGGCUUCCAUGGAUGCAGAUCCAGGUGGUAGUAGCAAAUAUCAAAUUAGAACUUAAAAGGAAAAAUAGGGGAAAGGUUCCAUGUGAACAACACUUGCACAUGGUUUAGUUGAUCCUAAGAGUCGGAUAACCCCGUCAGAGAGAGCAAACUGCAUGAACUUCGAAAGGGAAUCAGGUUAAAAUUCCUGAACAAGGAUGCGACGGCUGACGACAAUUUUAGGAAGUCUGGAGUUGUCGGCAGGGGCUUGGGAAGAGUUAUCUUUUCUAUUUAACAGCUUACCAGACCUGGAAAUGGCUCAGCCAACGGUAGGGUCAUGUGUCUGGAAGAGCAUCGCAUGUCACGUUGUGUUCGGUGCCCCCAUGGCGCACCUUAAAAAUUUGGAGGACUAAGUAUCGAUCGGGCCCGAUCAUACUCAUAACCGAAUUAGGUCUCUAAGGUGCACACCUCUGGUCGAUGGAACAAGGUAGGCAAGGGAAGUCAGCAAAAUGGAUCCGUAACCUCGGGAAAAUGAUUCUCUUUGAGGACUGGGCUCGGGGGUUCCUGUAGGUGGACUGCUCGAGUUACUUCCGCGGCGAGAACAGGUCACUGCAUGCCAACUGGGGAAUGGACUUGGAAUGGUUCCUUCAAGGGCUUUUUCGAGCAUUGAACUAUCAACUUGGAACAGGUACAGAUAAGGGGAAUUUGAUUCUUUAAUUAAAACAAAGCAUUGCGAAGGUCUUUACGGAUGUUAAUGCAUUGUGAUUUUUGCCUAGUGCUCUUAAUGUCAAAGUAAAGAAAUUCAGCCAAGCGCGGGUAAACGGUGGGAAUAACUAUGACUCUCUUAAGGUAGCCAAAUGCCUCGUCGUCUAAUUAGUGACACGCACGAAUGGAUUAACGAGAUUCCCACUGUCCUAUCUACUAUCCAGUGAAACCACAGCCUAGGGAACGUGCUUGGCAGAAUCAACGGGCAAGAAGACCUUGUUGAGUUUGAUUCUAGUUCGACUUUGUGAAAUGACUUGAGAGGUGUAGGAUAACGUUUGCAUCGAAAGCGAUAUACCACUACUUUUAACGUUAUUUUACUUAUUCUGUGAGUCAGAAGUGGGAGUUGCCUUUCUCUUUGGAUCCAAGGGUGGCCCGAUUCGGGCGGAAGACAUUUUUAGGUGGGGAAUUUGGCUGGGCAGCACAUCUGUUAAAAGAUAAUGCAGGUCUUCUAAGAUGAGCUAAACGAGAAAGAAAAUCUCAUGUGGAACAGAAGGGUAAGAGCUUGUUUGAUUCUAAUUACCAGUACGAAUACGAACGUGAAAGUGUGGCCUAUCGAUCCUUUAGAAAAGUAUUGGAUUGUUCGCCCACCAAUAGGGAACGUGAGCUGCGUUUGGGAUAGUGUGAGACUGGUUAUUUUUCCAUACUAAUGAUAGUGUCGUGGUAGUAAUUUAACCUACUAUGAGUGGAACCAUUGAUUCACAUAAUUGGUUAUCGUGUUUGGUUGAAAAGCUAGUGCGCGAAGCUGCCGUGUGCAAGAUUAAGAUUGAGCGCCUCUAAGUAAGAAUCCAGGGUAGAAAAGCGGUGCAUAUGCUCGUCGCCUGAUUGCCAACCUGGAGUAGGGGCCUUUUGGUCCCCAAAGUAAUGUGCCAUUGGUGAAGCUCUAGAUGAGUUGU